ACGGAACGCCGCGCAGACGCCCGAGGAGGCGCCGCAGGUGAUCAGGUCCCGCCGGUCCCGGUCGUUGUUGAAGUAGCGGAGCCAGCGGAUGCCGCCGCCCUGGCUCAGCAGGUUCGCCAGGCACGCCCCGAUGUGCACCAGCGGGCCUUCCUUGCCCAGAUCCAGCCCCGACGACACCGCGCAGAUGCUGCCGAUGAUCUGAACAAGAAAAAAACAUGGAAAAAUCGAUCAAUAAAAUACGAGCUGUCGGGUUAGCCGGUGACAGGCAGAGCAGGAGCAGGUUCAGGGAAGAAGCUAGGAACUGUGGUUAAUUUUGACCUUGACGAUGAGCUGCGGCAUGCCGAACAUGUUGGGCGUGUCGACGCCGUUGAGGUAGGCCUUGAUCUCGGGGAUGCCGGGGCCGGCGGCGGUGGGGGCGAAGACGACGCAGAGCACGGCGGCGACGAAGGUGAGCGCGAAGUUGAUGCCGGAGAAGUAGAGGAACCCCGCCCAGUAGCGCUUGUCCCGGACGAGCUGGACCAUGUGAAGCAUCUUGAGGCCGGAGAUGUUCUCGAUGGCGAGGUUGAUGAGCGACGCGAUGACACCCGUCAGGAGGCCCACCAGGAACGCCAGCGCCCACUUGAGGAAGAUGUACUGCAGCACCUCCCCGUUCGACCGCCGCCGCCAGUCGUGCUUGAACAGGUCGUUCUCGAUGAUCCUGCCAUCAAUUCAGUCAGAGCAACAACACAUGAUAAUUGACAGUGCAAACGAUUGAGUUCAAGGAAGGAAUGCUCACUCGUAGUCGAGGCUCUCGAUGUGGGAGACCUUGGCGCCGACCAUGGCGAGAUGGCUGGCAGUCAGGGUGUUGCUCCUCUUCAGCAGCGGCUGCUCCAGGGACCGGAUGCCGCCAUUGCCGCUCUCCUGGUUCUCCGGGUCCUCGUUGUCGUUGUUGACGCCGUCGUCGUGUUUGCCUUGUUGCGCUCCCGGACUCGCUGUCGUAGGCGGCUCUCCGGCGAGCCCCAGCUGGCUCUGCUCGCCCUCCAUGCCCGUCCUUGGCACAGAGCUGUCGCAGAGCGUUUUGGUGGCUCUGUUUCUCCAAGUUUCCGAAGCAGGAAGAAGGUCUCGUGGCAAGUCAAGGAUGGGAUGUGUGUAUAUAAAUGGAGUAGUGGACAGUUGGAGGCGCCAUUUCAAUGCUCCUUAUCUGGCUUGCAAAUGGAUCGAUUACUUGUGGCGACCCAUUGGCAGGCUGAGCCCUGAUGAGGGAGGCCAUCUCUCAUUAGAGCUACCCUCUUAUAGGCAAAAUAUUUUGGCUUUUUCUUGCUCUUCUGCUUAUUUUCUAGUGCCUAGUCCUCAGUUCUCACCACAUGUAUGUUAAUUAUAUGUGGCUAUUAUUCACAUGAAUUAGUCCGUAAGUUGCCAGUUCAUGUAAACUGUACCAUGCCAAUAUAUUUUUCCCAUAUUUAAUUUCUUGUUUUCAUAAUUGGCAUUUCAUAUUGUAAAGCCGUCCAAUAACAUUAGGAACUUUUCUUCAGAAGAGAAAUAUUAAAUCUGGAGAACUGACCCUUGCCCUGCCCUUGAGAGGCGCCCAUGCCUUUUGGGAAGCAAGUAAGGUUCUUCCUUUGGCUGCCAGGAAGAGUGCAAUGUACACAGCAGCUCUUUGCUGGCCACUUGGUCUGCUUAUCAAAACAUUGGACAAAUAAGAUGGUCUGUAGUGGACGUAUAGAACCAUCUCAUGGAUGCCAACAAAAGGCUUAUUAGCUGUUGUCUGCAUCUACGGCGCCGAGUUGAACUUUCUGCUGUUUUGCCUACGACACUUUCAGGCCAGAGAGAGCUCUCUCAGAUAGGUGCAUUUGAUUAAUUUGCUGCUCCAUACCGUCAUCAGCAGCAUUUCUACUAUUUAUUCUCUGCCUCAAAGUACACGACAAAAAUCCCUCCUACUUAUUAUUCGUGAUGUAAAAUUUUCUUCACCUCAAAUCGCCUUUGUGGUCUAUUUGUGCCUAAUUACGCCCAGGGUCUAGCUGCAGAGACGAUUAAACCUGAGCAGAAGAAAAAGGAUAGACCGAUUCUUUUCAGUAGUGAUUGAGAUAAGAACGGGGAACAACUGAACAAUAUAAGGACAAUAUUUUUUUUUUGAGGAAUCAGAGGGGGGGAGGGAGAGAAUUCCCACCUGAAUAUAUAACUCAAACCGGCGAAAUUACAUGGGUCGAGACCCGUGAGGACAAGUAGUCGCGUCACAUAGCGGCGGCUACUUUCUGAUCGGCAUGCUUGAGCCGAUGGGACCAAAGCGUGAAAUCCGCGAGAAUGUUACGAACGAUUACAAUAGGCAGCAGUAUUACAUGGCGGAAAACAACACUGUUACGAGAAUCCCAAAUUUUCCAAAGUGUAGUCAUCAGCAUCGCAGGCCACAGCAGUGGCAGAGCAGCUGUGCAGGGGGGCGCCGUCAUCCAGGGCGCAGCCAGCGACGUGGGCAUGAGGGUAAUUUCAUAUGUGUUGAAAGUUACUGGCAGAUUCUUCUAAUUUAAGUUGCUGUUAACUUAACAUUGUUUUGGUGCUUUGCACGAUGAGAUGCACUUUUUGUCCUUGGAAUGCCUUUCGUUUCAUCGAAUCCAAUGGACACUAGCUCAGUUUCCUGGGAAAUAGGCUAACAUGCAUGUUCAUCUUCACUGCAAUUGGUACAGGUUUAAGGCUAGCUUCAAGCCAUGUACGUUCUCAGGCUAGUCAAACAAUUCCUUUUAUCAUUAUGACCUAGUACAAUUACAGUAAUUGUGUCUUUUGGUUAUUGACGUUAGCCAUCUAGAUAAACUCCAAUGGCUAGUGUUAACUUUAACGUUGCCUGUCAUUCAGAAUUCCCACCACAAAAAUUUACCUAGGUUCGGGCCCCUUGGAUUGAGUAACAACGAUACUCAUGUCUUGUUUAUAUUACUGAAAACUUGGAGUACAGAAGUGUAUACAAUGAGGGGUACCCAGUGAGUCCCAUAGUCCUCGAACUGGGCGGCAGUGGCGCCGGCAGCGGCGCUCCCCCCUUGGGGGUGGCAUUUGGGGAAGCUAAAUAUUUGAUGAGCGGGUCCUGGGGUCGAAGGGCGCCUGCUGGGCAUGUGUUGGUCGGUGGCUCGGGCUGGCGUGCUCAAUGUCAGGUUUGACAAGUUCAGUGCUUCGAUCCCUGUCCUGAAAAAGGGGUGGCGGAAGACAGUGGCCACUAACUCUGAAGCGUGCACAGAUGGCACAUGUUGUGGAUUUGCUUGACCGGUUGUGCCCUCAUGCGGCCUACAGAUUUAGAUGCUGGACGGUGGUGUGCGGUCAGGGCACGCGGUCCUGAUAAUGGCCAUACUCUUCAUCAGUCUUGUUUGUGUAGCGAUGUGGCUUUGGGUUAAUCGAUCGAUGUAUUCAUUUGUCAAGCUUGUUGAAUAAAUUAAUAAAAUUUGGCCUUGUGCAUCAUUUUGAUGGAGAGGCCGAGGGUUUCAACUUUUUUUCGAAAAAAAGUGAGCGGGAUGACUCGACGGGUUAGAAUGCGGUGUAGAUUGCAGGCUCUGGAAUUUUUUGAUUGCUCUCUCCUUCUAGCGGACCCCUGGCCACCCUUUUAUAUACGCGGUAUGCGGAUUACUCUUCCAUAUAUUUGUAGAACACCAUGUCGCGCGGGCCGGUCUUCUGACUCCAUAUGAGGGAAAUCCAUAGUAUACCUUUCAAGUAUCUCGCAAGAUUUCCUUUUGGCCCCCCAUGGGUAUCUCGGAGUAAGUCGGUGCGUCCCUGCACGGGUCUAGCUUUGGGCUGGUGUACUGUACGAGGGGACUAUUCACCAACCCCGACAAAUCAUGCUUUGUAAGGCGACCAAACAUAUUAUAAAAACAUCGUCAUGUGAACAUUGUCAAGCAUACGACGAGCGAGCUCAUAAGACCGUCGUACAUCUGUUACGCUUUAACCAUCGUGCAUUGAUACCUCCUAUAUAUAAUAGUGUUGUUCGGGUGCAACAACAUAUACUUAUUGGUUUAGUGCCCAAAAGUUUAAUUCUUUUCAUUGGUGCUCAUCGUUAUUGGUUCACACUGGAUAACUCCAAUAAAACUAAUGAGAUGCAAGAAGCUAACAUUUCUAAGAAAACUUGCAACGGCAACAGUUUGUGAUGCCAAAGGACGACACUGCCUUUUUCUAUAAUAUGAAAGGACAUUAGCUAGAGGCGCAGUUCGUACUGUGCCAGCUUUAUGGUUAGGAAAAGUUCUUCCAUGAUUAUACUGAUCGUUCUAGAGAAAAUCAAUGCAAUAGAUGUUGCCUUAUGCUUGUGGCAAGGGAAGAUAAGGCAAUAAUUCAUUUAACAAUGGGUGAUGAAUGUUUGAACCGUUAUUAUAUGCAUGUCAGUAGUAGACUUUUGGUGAUGAAGUUGGAUUUGUGUCAUCAUAUUUGUUAAUAGUAUGUUUAAACUUCUAGCUUUGUUGAUCUUAAAUCAAACUUCUCGAAAAGAAAGCCCACACAAAAUAUAUGAAUAAGACAAUUUGAAUUUAAGUAUUUUCUUCUGCCACGACAAAUAAAACUCCAUGUGAAUAAAACUCAUUUUUUAGGAAUAAAAAACUCAUUUAUGGAAAAGUCAUGUAGACUUUUUGUAUUGAAGGUAAUUACCGACCACUUAUGAACAUCAAAAGGCACUCAUACAUUUAUUUAUCUUCAAUUUUUUUGGUCAAUGGUUGAAAUUUUUGUUUCAAGUUAGUAUGUGAUCUUUUUUGCUUUCUUGUAAGAAUGAUGGUUUUUACAUUUAUAACUUGAAGUCGUAUGCAUUAAUUGAUGCAGAUGCCAAGAUACCCUCAUUUUCGAAAAGGAAGAAGAUAAGAAGACCGUGAGCAUGUGUGGUGUGACCAAAUACCUCAAUACAUUUUUAGUAUGCUAAUUACUUCCUUUGUCAGUUUGUAAUUAAUCUAAAAAACAUACUUAAAAGUCUAAGAUGAGCCUUCACCUAUAAGCCUCUGGUUUUCUGCGAUGGGACUUGCAGGUACAACGGCCAAACGCUGUCGGACUGUAUUUCUGAAUAGAUCAGAUCAUUUAUUAGGCUGCCAACAUUCUAUAACAGAUCACAUGAUACGGGAUGAGCUUGAGAGCUUCCCUUUACCAACAGGAUCUCUUGAGUCCGGAAAUGCAUUGCUGCAAGCCCAUCCUGAAGGUUUGCUCAUUCAAUCCUAAAAAAAAGUGCUAAUUUCUGCAUUUCGCAGAAACACAAAGCAAUUAUGUGCACUUGUAUUUGCUAUUGUAGACACUAGUUAGGCCCUUUUCUGGUUUAUGUAGCAUGGUAUAAUUGUGGUCAAAGAAAAAAAGGACAUACUAUAAUAAAAAAUUCGUGCAUUCACACUGCAUCCAACAAUGUACUCCCUCCGUCUCAUAUUAUGACUCCAAUUUAUCUAAAUAUGAAAGUAUAUGUAUACUAAAAUACGUCUAGAUACAUGUAAUAUUUUGGCACUUAAUAUUGGAGGAAGGAAUAUAUUUUUUAAAAUUUUCCUAGCUUGCAUACAUGCUUUUAAUUUUCUUUUCUUCAAUCCAUCUGGGUGCUGCUACUCCUAACUUACAGAAUCCGCUCAUUUUACUUAUAGAUAGAAAUGAGCUCUUUUUCCUCGAAACAUUUAGAAAUGUUCCAAGUUGUGAGGAACUGGAGAUAUAAGAUCAAAACGGAGUUUACUAACUGGAGCAGGACAGUUUGAGGUGGUUGAGGUUUCUCGUCUCACCACCACUAGCACUCACUCAUCAUUUGGUAGGUACCGGUUCAUCCAAGACAAACAAACACUUGGCUUUUCCGGUUUCUUUUUCUCCUCAGGUACCCCUUCAAGCAUCCCAAGAAGAAACCACACGUGGAUAACCCCUCAUCAUUAUCAAGAUCUAGGCGCCUCUAAAUUUCUUCCCCCCACUCUUCUGUUCGUUUCUGCUUGUCGAGGGACAAUAAUUCCGACUUUGCUCAGCCCCAUGUUACCUGGGAGUACGAGUAGCAUAUUUCUGUACAUUGUUCACUCUAAUGUCAUUCUUGACAUGUUGUAGCAAUACGGCUGGAGCUGUCUGCUCGAGGAGUUUCACGUACAAAAUCAUCGUUCCUCCAGGGGCCAAUUGCCAGCUGAAAACUACUCCUCCGGUCUUAAAUUCUUGACUCAAAUUUGUCUAAAUAUGGAUAUAUCUCUCCGCAAAAAAAAAUGGAUAUAUCUAUUCUUAAAAAGCGUUUAGAUACAUCUAAUAUUUUGACAACAAUUUAGAAUUGGAGAGAGUAAUAAACACGAGGACAUGAAGAAAGGUGUUUCGGCAAUAACAUUUCAGGGGGAGAGGUCAUGAUUCAUGAAUGCGUGUAGCUCUGACCAGAUCUGGAUCACAUCCAUGUUGCUGUCAAGUGAUAUAUGGCGAUCUGAUCGGCAACUACACAUGGAGUGUAAAGUAAUACUCCUGUAUAGGAGUAUGUGUGUGACUCGGAGAAAUGGGGAAGCAACGGCAGUAGUGCCGGCGGCGACAGAUGGAUGUAUGAUCCGUCCGUCCGACCGGUACAGAGAUUCAGACAACGAAAGGGGCCCCAAUAAUGCAGCGGAGGGAGGCUCACGAUCCCCGGCUUCCAAGUCACAUGGAUGGAUCGGGACUGAUUGAUUGAGCAACCAGGAAAAACGGCCUUUGCAUGCUGCCAAGGGACGCUUUAUCCAGACAUAAAAUGGCCCCCGUUCAUGGUUUCUCUUUAAAUGACACCGGCAAUGCAAUUGUUUCACACAAAUGCCACUGGUUAUGCAUACUGAACUACUGCUAUUCUUGUAUUGGUUUUCAACCGUAAAUACGGCCAACAUGCUAGUACCGUUAAGUUUGCUUCAUUCAUCAUCUUAGUGUGCCUUGAAAAAAUAUCUUUAUGGGUAACCAAAAUCAAUAUGGGUAGGGGAGAGAAAAUUUGGGUAGUCAAAACUUGUCCAACUUCCAAUCUUCCCUAAAUCUGGAUACCCAUAUACACAACUUCCAUCCCGGACCCACAUGUCAUUCUCCACUAUUCUUCUCCCCUGCCUUCGUGCGCAUCGCUGCUCCAGUCCUCUUCCCAUGGGUCGCUCGUGGCCGGACUCACAAUGGGAGAAAGCCGACGGCGUUGCCCAGCAGAGACGGAGCAGGCGGCUGUCGCGGCCGGAAUCGGGGCGGCAGGCGUCGGACGCGCGGCCCCUGCUCUUCUUCCUCUCCGCAUCUUGCCAAGGCAGCGCUUGGGUCGGGGAGGGGGCGCCGCGGGCAAGAUUUGGCGAUUUCGUUGGGGAGGGGGCGUCGCAGGUGGUUGUGGGAGGCCGGCGAUGACGCCAUUUGCCGGAUUCGGCGGGGAAGGGGCGCCGCGGGGCCGGAUUCGGCGGUUUCGCCGGGCGGAAUUGGGGGAGGGCCCGUGGGCGGCGGCGCUCGGGCAUCAGCUCGGGGCUGGGGGCCAGCGGACGACGCUGGAGGUCGGGGAGGCGAAGAGGACGAGCGGCGACGGUCUGCGGCGCUGCGCGCUACGGAGGCAGCGGUCGUCUCCUCCUUUGAUCUGGGCGGCGACCGGCGACCUCGGGGAAGCAGCGUUGGGGAUAGGGAAGCACGGUGGUGAGGGGCGCAGGGGCUAGGCGGAGCGGCCGGCAACGCGGGGACGGCGGUUGUGCGGUCCGGUGGCCGGAGUCGACGCCGGUGCUGGCGGGUUUCUUGCCGGACGGGGAUGAAAUUUCAGGUUUGCGACAGUUGGCUUCGCGCGUGGGAUAUGGGUAGCUACCCCCAUAUUUGGGUAUUGGAGGAUAAAAUAUGGGUAGGUAUGCAAAAAAUUUUGGGUAUCCAACGAAUAUGAGUACGUUGCCGGAGCUGUUUUUGAGACAAAAUAUUCAUAUUAACAGUUUUUGAGUAUUCUCUCGAAAUAUGUUGGAGAUGCUUUUAUGAAAUUUACUGAUUGUGGACGCCAUGUAAACACAAAUGGCAUAACCGUAAAUUGCUCUGGAACCAUGAGAGUCGGACAAGGGAGGUCGGAGGAAUUCCUGCCUGCAAAUUCGGUCCGGUUCUCCACGUAGCGCGUGUGGACGGGCGUUUAACAAAUCUAGCGACGGGGAACAUGGGGCCAUGGCGCUUUUGUUGGUGACACCUAAUAACAUGAUUGCUAGCUUGUUUUUUUUUUCAUGGUGUCGCCAGUGGGAGCAAAACUGCAAAAGCAUCGCCUUAAAUCAAUUUUGAUCAACAAUCAUUGGCGCAUAUAUAUGUGGUGGAUGGAAGGAUGGAUCGGGUCGAAAUGUAAUUGACCCGGAUACAUCAUCCGAUGAAGAAAUGAGAAAGUGAAGCCAAGGUUAUAACCAAAGCGG
rnacentral:lncRNA from 1 species